ACUACGGGCGGCUGCAGUGAGGAAUAUUGGUCAAUGGGCGCGGGCCUGAACCAGCCAAGUCGCGUGGAGGAUGACUGCCCUAAGGGUUGUAACCUUCUUUUAUCAGGGAAUAAAGUGAGGCACGUGAGCCUUUUUGUAUGUACUUUAUGAAUAAGAAUCGGCUAACUCCGUGCCAGCAGCAGCGGUAAUACGGAGGAUCCGAGCGUUAUCCGGAUUUAUUGGGUUUAAAGCGAACGUAGAUGGAUUGUUCAGUGAGUUGUGAAAGUUUUCGGCUCAAACGUAAAAUUGCAAUUGAUCCUGGCAGUAGUGAGUACAGUUGAGGUAGGAGGAAUUCGGGGUGUAGUGGUG
rnacentral:rRNA from 1 species